AUUUUAGACCAAUAGAAAUAUGGGUGGACAUGGUGGAGGUGAUAAAGAUGCUGCAAAAGAGAAUUUCAAGAAGAAGAGCAUGUUCGGUUUUGUAGUCAUGGCUACAGCCAUUGGAGGUGCAACCUUCGCUUCAAGGCACAAAUGGACUCAACUUGUAAUCCGUGAAACCCUUGUCAACCAGACAGCCGGAGGUGCCCCAAAGUAUGCUAAAACUGAACCGGUUAAUGCAUUGUUUAAGAAGAUCAUUGCAUAGUGUUAGAGAAGAAUGUUCUGAUGUCAGAGGAGGAUUCUCUGUAAUCGUAAUGGUGGAUCAACUCAUUUCACUUAGAAUCGCACUUUGUCUGAGGCCUAAAUUAUUACUUGAGAUUGUGCAAUGUAAUGUCACUUUUGUAUAACUAUUUGAAUACCUAUAAUACUGAGAUUAACUUAUUACAAAGUUUGUGUUCUCUAGUUUUGGAAAUUAUGAUCGUUUCACACGACUCUGACUAUCAUUGCUUUCAUCUAAAAGAAGAAUCAAAGUAUACUGAUGUUCCAUUGUUAGUAUGUUGCACUAAUAUCAGUAGAUCAUCAGAGACAUGGUUUAUUUUAUUAGCCUCGUAUUAUUUACAAUAUCUUGAUUCCUGAAGAACGAAAAGAUUCGAAAUUUGUUACUUUUUAACCUCAUAAUUUGUCUGAGACAUAUUUCUAAUCACAGUAAUCUUGAAGUUAUAGCACAAUGGCAGAUAAAGGAGGAGUUCGAAUAGAUGUGGGACUGAUACAGAGGUAGCCAAAGAGACUAAGGCUCUCCAGACUGAACUGACAGAUCUAGGAAAGCCAGCCAUGAUUGAAGUUCUGAGGUGUGCAGGUCCGAACAUAUCCCCCGCUCAAUCUACUCUUCUCGCUAAACUAGUUCCCAAGAAACAGACAUCCACAGAUUGGGUACUUGGUCGUUUCCAGAGACGACCUGGUACUCAGUACUUUUUGAAGGGACUCAUGAGAAUAUUCGACCCUCAACUGUUUGUAAUCAUGUGAAUAGAACUCUGAUUACUAGGAUUUACAGACGUUUAAAAGUAGGGUUUAUAAAAGACUGUCGCAUUUCUACAAACACUGAGUUGAUACGUUUACCUUAAUGGUAGAUAUAUCAUGUAUCGUAUUUAAAACGCAGAGUCAGAUUUCAAUGCUGGUGCCUGGUUGGUUAUCAAACGAAUGGUGUGAUAUAUGUAACCAAAUUCCUCAGUGCAGUAUUUCCGAAAUUUCUGCACUAGGUUUUGAACAAAAAAAACUUCAAUAUCAAAUCGAUAUUAACAUAUUUUGGUAUGUACCCGUAUACUCUGAUUGAGGAGUGUUAUAGUAGGCGUGACUCCAAUGGGAGUGAGGCGAUCCACAUUUUUACUAAAAUUCUCCCAUAACCGUAUGGGUGAACUAUUGCCACUCGCAGUUUAGCACUCGAGUGAUACUAGACCAGUUUUUUUCAAAAAUAUGGAUCACCUUUAACUCACCUUCAUUGCUCACGUCCAUGAAUUCGCUGUAUUACAGUUUGAGUCUUCUUGAUUACAGAACCAAGAUGCAACCGCAUAUCAUAGGUUUAGAAAGAUUUGACUCUUUUUAUUCUUAGUUAAAGAUUUUUUAAAAGUUUUAUAUUCUCAUGUUUAACUACAGACUAUGUGCUAAAUUUGUAUUAAAUUAAAGUGUUUUUUGUCACUUAAGCAGUAAGUUUUAAACUUUGAUAUGCGAUUUUCUUCACCUUGGUGACUCACUUAAAUAUUAAAAUACUUGCAGACAUUGCUGGUUGUGAUGUACUCUAAAGCAUGUCUCAGUAUGUUCACUUAAGCUAGAUUUUACAUGCUGAACAUUGUUUAGCAUGUCAAAUCUAGCUUAAGGGGUCGUUCGCAUAUUACGUAAAAAUUGCUAAAAUAUUGAUUACGUAGUAUGUGAACGACCCCUAAGGUAUAUAUAUAAUAGUCCAUGUGAUAUUAUUAAGGUUUAGUCGAAGUGCACUUUCUGGUUGUGUUUUUGUGUAAUUUUUACAGAAACUUUCUAUUGGGCAAUGAUUUUGAAUUUUGAGCAGGUACAAGUUUUUUUAUAGAGGUUGAAUAUUUGACCAAAGAUUUGAUACUUUAUUUAUUGUGUUCUCUCGUUGUACGAUCAAAACAUUGGUAAAAUUUUAAAUAAUUCAUCUAGAA